UACGAGGGGGGCAAGCGUUGUUCGGAAUUAUUGGGCGUAAAGCGCGCGCAGGCGGUCUUCCAAGUCAGUGGUGAAAGCCCGGAGCUCAACUCCGGAACUGCCAUUGAAACUGUGAGACUUGAGUAUGAGAGAGGUGAGUGGAAUUCCCAGUGUAGAGGUGAAAUUCGUAGAUAUUGGGAAGAACACCGGUGGCGAAGGCGGGUCUCUGGGCCGAUACUGACGCUGAGGAGCGAAAGCGUGGGGAGCGAACAGG
rnacentral:rRNA from 1 species